UACGUAGGGUGCAAGCGUUGUUCGGAAUCAUUGGGCGUAAAGGGCGCGUAGGUGGUUCUGUAUGUCUACCGUGAAAGCGUACGGCUCAACCGUAGUUUGUCGGUGGAAACUGCAGGACUUGAGGCUGGGAGGGGCUGGUGGAAUUCCCUGUGUAGCGGUGAAAUGCGUAGAGAUGGGGGAGAACACUCGUGGCGAAGGCGGCCAGCUAGACCAGUUCUGACACUGAGGCGCGACAGCGUGGGGAGCAAACAGG
rnacentral:rRNA from 1 species